AGUGAACGCUGGCGGUAGGCCUAACACAUGCAAGUCGAACGGCAGCACAGUAAGAGCUUGCUCUUACGGGUGGCGAGUGGCGGACGGGUGAGGAAUACAUCGGAAUCUACUUUUUCGUGGGGGAUAACGUAGGGAAACUUACGCUAAUACCGCAUACGACCUACGGGUGAAAGCAGGGGAUCUUCGGACCUUGCGCGAUUCAAUGAGCCGAUGUCGGAUUAGCUAGUUGGCGGGGUAAAGGCCCACCAAGGCGACGAUCCGUAGCUGGUCUGAGAGGAUGAUCAGCCACACUGGAACUGAGACACGGUCCAGACUCCUACGGGAGGCAGCAGUGGGGAAUAUUGGACAAUGGGCGAAAGCCUGAUCGAGCAAUACCGCGUGGGUGAUGAAGGUCUUCGGGUUGUAAAGCUCUUUUGUUGGGAAAGAAAAGAAGCAGGUGAAUCCCCGGCUGUUCUGACGGUACCCAAAGAAUAAGCACCGGCUAACUUCGUG
rnacentral:rRNA from 1 species